GACGAACGCUGGCGGCGUGCCUAAUACAUGCAAGUAGAACGCUGAAGAGAGGAGCUUGCUCUUCUUGGAUGAGUUGCGAACGGGUGAGUAACGCGUAGGUAACCUGCCUUGUAGCGGGGGAUAACUAUUGGAAACGAUAGCUAAUACCGCAUAACAAUGGAUGACACAUGUCAUUUAUUUGAAAGGGGCAAUUGCUCCACUACAAGAUGGACCUGCGUUGUAUUAGCUAGUAGGUGAGGUAAUGGCUCACCUAGGCGACGAUACAUAGCCGACCUGAGAGGGUGAUCGGCCACACUGGGACUGAGACACGGCCCAGACUCCUACGGGAGGCAGCAGUAGGGAAUCUUCGGCAAUGGGGGCAACCCUGACCGAGCAACGCCGCGUGAGUGAAGAAGGUUUUCGGAUCGUAAAGCUCUGUUGUAAGUCAAGAACGGGUGUGAGGGUGGAAAGUUCACACUGUGACGGUAGCUUACCAGAAAGGGACGGCUAACUACGUG
rnacentral:rRNA from 1 species